UACAGAGGGUGCGAGCGUUGUCCGGAAUCACUGGGCGUAAAGGGCGCGUAGGUGGCGACCCAAGUCGAUGGUGAAAGCUCGCCGCUCAACGGCGAGUCGGCCACCGAUACUGGGUUGCUUGAGCACGGUAGAGGCUAAUGGAAUUCCGGGUGUAGCGGUGGAAUGCGUAGAGAUCCGGAAGAACACCGGUGGCGAAGGCGGUUAGCUGGGCAGUUGCUGACACUGAGGCGCGACAGCGUGGGGAGCAAACAGG
rnacentral:rRNA from 1 species